rnacentral:rRNA from 1 species
CACACGACCGUUAUAUCCGUAGAUUUCUGAAUGGGACAACCUAAUAUACUGAAGGUAUAUUACUCUGCAAAGAGAGCCAACCCCGAGAACUGAAACAUCUAAGUACCGGGAGGAAAAGAAAAUAAUAAUGAUUCCCUGAGUAGUGGCGAGCGAAAAGGGAAGAGCCCAAACCGGGUCAGCGUGCUGAUCCGGGGUUAUAGGACUGCAUUUAGAAGUUGUUAUCAAACCGAAUCAUCUGGAAAGAUGGGCCAUAGCAGGUGAUAGCCCUGUAAGUACAAAUUAACAAGGACGAGCAGUAUCCUGAGUAACGCGGGACCGGAGGAAUCUUGCGUGAAUUUGCCAGCACCAUCUGGUAAGGCUAAAUACUCCUCAGACACCGAUAGUGAACCAGUACCGUAAGGGAAAGGUGAAAAGCACCCCGAACAGGGGAGUGAAAUAGUACCUGAAACCGCGU